CCAAUAGCGUAUAUUAAAGUUGUUGCAGUUAAAAAGCUCGUAGUUGAAUUUCGGGGUUAGUAGGCUGGUCGUGCCACUGGUAUGUACUGGUCUUACUGACUUCUCCUUUCUGAAGAACUGUAAUGCCAUUAAUUUGGUGUUGCAGGGAAUCAGGACUGUUACUUUGAAAAAAUUAGAGUGUUUAAAGCAGGCUUACGCUUGAAUACAUUAGCAUGGAAUAAUGAAAUAGGACGUUCGAUCCUAUUUUGUUGGUUUCUAGGAUUGACGUAAUGAUUAAUAGGGAUAGUUGGAGGCAUUAGUAUUCAAUUGUCAGAGGUGAAAUUCUUGGAUUUAUUGAAGACUAACUACUGCGAAAGCAUUUGCCAAGAAUGUUUUCAUUAAUCAAGAACGAAAGUUAGGGGAUCGAAGACGAUCAGAUACCGUCGUAGUCUUAACCAUAAACUAUGCCGACUAGGGAUCGGAUGAUGUUAAUUUUUUAAUGACUCAUUCGGCGCCUUACG
rnacentral:misc_RNA from 1 species